AGCAGCUCCUCUUCUUCAGUACAGAUGCUUCUCAACUUACAAUGAGGUUAUACCCUUAUAAACACAUGGUAGCAAGAAUACAGCUGUGAGAAGAUGCAUUGUGCCAAGAUGAAUUUAGUGAGUUUGGAAGAGGACCCUGAGCCUGAAAUGAGAAUUGCAACCCUGGCUGACACCUCCAUUUCAGUCUGACAUGACCUUAACAGAGGACCCAGAUAACCUGUACUACACACCUGACCUAUGAAAACUUAUCUCAUGGACCUAGUCACAUGAAACUGGGUAAAAUUUGUUCAUGUAGAAAUGAAUAAAUGUAAUCCGUCCUAAUUACAAUAAUUCGUAAACAAGGAGAGGAAUGCAAAAGGAUAAUUUCAAUGUUUUUGAAUUUGAUAUAAGGUCUACUGCGUUGCAGAUGGCAAGAUUUCCUAUGAUUGACUUAGGCAGGGUGUGAAUAGCACUGCAAAGCAGGAGAGAGAAGUUGAGCUUUCAAAGUGACAGUCUGGUUACAGACUGAUUGAAGACGUGUAUGUCCAAGCAUGUACAUAAUGGGCUUGGGGAAAGAAAAGGAAUGAGAAUGGAAAAAGGAACACAGCGCUUGUGUUCAUAUUGAUUUCUUUCUUUUUAUGUGCAUUAUUGCCAAAGCAUGAGAAAAAACCUAUAAUUCAGGUAAUCUGGCUCUAUCUUAAUGUGAGAAAUAAAAUAAAAUUUGUGUCAAUAGGUAUGGGAUUGCAAAUUUAAGUCUAAUGAAUAUAUAUUUAAAUAAGCCCAGGAAAAAAUGCUCAAGAUCACUAA
ensembl:lncRNA LINC02796 long intergenic non-protein coding RNA 2796